rnacentral:rRNA from 1 species
UCCAAAAGCGGAGGAAAAGAAACCAACAGGGAUUGCCUUAGUAGCGGCGAGUGAAGCGGCAAAAGCUCAAAUUUGAAAUCUGGCACUUUCAGUGUCCGAGUUGUAAUUUGAAGAAGGUAUCUUUGGGUCUGGCUCUUGUCUAUGUUUCUUGGAACAGAACGUCACAGAGGGUGAGAAUCCCGUGCGAUGAGAUGUCCCAGACCUAUGUAAAGUUCCUUCGAAGAGUCGAGUUGUUUGGGAAUGCAGCUCUAAGUGGGUGGUAAAUUCCAUCUAAAGCUAAAUAUUGGCGAGAGACCGAUAGCGAACAAGUACAGUGAUGGAAAGAUGAAAAGAACUUUGAAAAGAGAGUGAAAAAGUACGUGAAAUUGUUGAAAGGGAAGGGCUUGAGAUCAGACUUGGUAUUUUGUAUGUUACUCUCUCGGGGGUGGCCUCUACAGUUUACCGGGCCAGCAUCAGUUUGGGCGGUAGGACAAUUGCAAAGAAAUGUGGCACUGCCUCGGUAGUGUGUUAUAGUCUUUGUCGAUACUGCCAGCCUAGACUGAGGACUGCGGCUUCGGCCUAGGAUGUUGGCAUAAUGAUCUUAAGUCGCCCGUCUUGACCAC